AAGACAUUUACAUAAUGACUUACUGCGCUAAUAGCAGGUAGCAUUAGCCUCCAAGACAUUUACAUAAUGACUUACUGCGCUAAUAGCAGGUAGCAUUAGCCUCCAAGACAUUUACAUAAUGACUUACUGCGCUAAUAGCAGGUAGCAUUAGCCUCCAAGACAUUUACAUAAUGACUUACUGCGCUAAUAGCAGGUAGCAUUAAUAGCAGGUAGAAUUAGCCUCCAAGACAUUUACAUAAUGACUUACUGCGCUAAUAGCUGGUAGAAUUAACAGCAGG